CGUCGCCAAUGGAUUCAUCAGGAAUUUGUUUAUGCAUGAAGAAGAAGAUCAAACCAAAACCCUUCUCGGCCAGCAGCAUCUAAUGGAUUCAUUAAUUGUCAUAAUGACUUGUCCUCUAAAAAGAAUGGAAUCAUGGUGGAUACUAAUUGCCUGAUACAACUUUUAGUCACUGUAAUUUUGGCAAGUGACAGCUAGCUGACAAUCGAUGUAGUGCGGCAGAGCCUUCUGCCUGCGCAUCUUCUAACCCAUGGUGAGCAACAACCUAUAGAGGAUUAUUCCCUACUAUCUACUUGAGCAUAUUCAACACCAUGGCGAGCAACAACCUAAAGAGGAUCUUUUCGAGUCAUUAUUUUUGGAAUCUGGACUACUAGGUGUGGGGAGAAGAACAGUCAGCGGCUGCAACAGGGCAUCUUCAUCAGCAUGAACCUAUAGAGGAUAUGCCACAUCAGUUAUGUGAGCAUCUUCAACACCAUGGCAAGCAACAGUCUGUAGUAACUUAUUUCACUGUUGGAUCUGUGAAACAAUAGUAGGCUUAUGACUCCUGAUCAGGACAAAAGUUGAGGACCUAUUCACCUUAGAAAGUAAAGGCUGCAAGAAGAAAAGGAAGUGGCCAUCUGUUGCAGGAUUGAUAUUCCUUUUAGACUUUGAGAAUGGUGAAAAAGACGAAGUCUUUGGCCAAAGGCAGAACUGGUUUGUUAAGUUAUUCUACGUGGACAAGACUGAGAUGGAAAGGCUCAAAUCCAACUAGUUACCAGUAUUGUGCUGCAAGUUAUGGGGAACCAGCAACAAAACCAACAUUUUGCCCUCAAAACCAAUAUCUAAGUCCCAGGCGUUGAGAUUCGUGAUGGAAGAUCUUGUGGGUGUUGAAUAUCCUGGAGUUUAUGAGAAGGAGGUGAAGUCUCAUUUGCUAAGAACUCCGUGACAGUUUUGCCGUAAACAACAUACCCUACAGCAACAUACUUGAACGUUCUGCUCUCUCAUGAGUGUAGUCGGUGUUUGGGUCAGAGAAAAGUGAAUUCACCAGCUCAAGCUAGGAGAUACUUGAGGUCGAAACCCGAAGUGAGAGAUCUGUCCUGAUCAUGCAAUCUUACUUAUCUCGAUAGUAACUCAUGUAAAACGUCCAUUAAUUGAAUCCAGUAGGGGGAAUAUGUAACAGCAAAAUCUUGUUUUGAAUUACAUUUGUUUUCACAUUCUGUGCUAUAUUUUUGGAUCUCUCCGUCGAUUCGAGCUUCAUACCCUCCUUUGUAAACGUAUAUACAUGAUUGGUGUUCUUCCCUCCU